rnacentral:rRNA from 1 species
CGCCUCUUGAUUAAACAUAAGAGGUCCAGCCUGCCCAGUGAUUAUUUAACGGCCGCGGUAUCCUAACCGUGCUAAGGUAGCACAAUUACUUGUUCUUUAAUUUAGGACUAGAAUGAAUGGCAUCACGAGGGUUACACUGUCUCCUCUCCCCAAUCAAUGAAAUUGACCUCCCCGUGAAAAGGCGGGAAUCAUACUAUAAGACGAGAAGACCCCAUGGAGCUUUAGACACCGAACAAAUUUAAACCAAAACCCCUCAAGUUUAAAAUACAUGUCUCUAAGUCUUUGGUUGGGGCGACCAUGGAGUAAAAAACAACCUCCAUAAUGAAUAUAUAUUUAAGAACUACACCUCUAAGAAACAGUAUACUGACGUUUAAUGAUCCAGACCACUGAUCAAUGAACCAAGUUACCCUGGGGAUAACAGCGCAAUCUACCUUAAGAGUCCAUAUCGACAGGCAGGUUUACGACCUCGAUGUUGGAUCAGGAUACCCCAGUGGUGCAGCCGCUACAUAAGGUUCGUUUGUUCAACGAUUAAAAUCC